GAUGAACGCUGGCGGCGUGCCUAAUACAUGCAAGUCGAGCGAACGGACGAGAAGCUUGCUUCUCUGAUGUUAGCGGCGGACGGGUGAGUAGCACGUGGAUAACCUACCUAUAAGACUGGGAUAACUUCGGGAAACCGGAGCUAAUACCGGAUAAUAUUUUGAACCGCAUGGUUCAAAAGUGAAAGACGGUCUUGCUGUCACUUAUAGAUGGAUCCGCGCUGCAUUAGCUAGUUGGUAAGGUAACGGCUUACCAAGGCAACGAUGCAUAGCCGACCUGAGAGGGUGAUCGGCCACACUGGAACUGAGACACGGUCCAGACUCCUACGGGAGGCAGCAGUAGGGAAUCUUCCGCAAUGGGCGAAAGCCUGACGGAGCAACGCCGCGUGAGUGAUGAAGGUCUUCGGAUCGUAAAACUCUGUUAUUAGGGAAGAACAUAUGUGUAAGUAACUGUGCACAUCUUGACGGUACCUAAUCAGAAAGACACGGCUAACUACGUG
rnacentral:rRNA from 1 species